rnacentral:rRNA from 1 species
UACGUAGGGACCAAGCGUUGUCCGGAAUCAUUGGGCGUAAAGAGCGUGUAGGCGGCUUGUUAAGUCUUGCGUGAAAUCUCGGGGCUCAACCCCGAGCGGUCGUGAGAAACUGGCAGGCUAGAGUGCGGGAGAGGAGAGUGGAAUUCCUGGUGUAGCAGUGAAAUGCGCAGAUAUCAGGAAGAACACCCGUGGCGAAGGCGGCUCUCUGGAACGCAACUGACGCUGAGACGCGAAAGCGUGGGGAGCAAACAGG